CGGCGUAAAGAGUGUUUAGGAUGAUUACCCAAAUAAAGUUAAACUAUUACUAAGCCGUAAAAAGCCCCAGUAUAAAUAAACCCAACAACGAAAGUGACUUUAGCAUGUCCGAACACACGACAACUAGGACCCAAACUGGGAUUAGAUACCCCACUAUGCCUAGCCGUAAACAUAAAUAUUCAAACAACAAGAAUAUUCGCCAGAGUACUACUAGCAAUAGCUAAAAACUUAAAGGACUUGGCGGUGCUUCAUAUCCACCUAGAGGAGCCUGUUCUAUAAUCGAUAAACCCCGAUAAACCUCACCACUUCUUGCUAAUGCAGCCUAUAUACCGCCAUCUUCAGCAAACCCUAAAAAGGUAGUACAGUAAGCAUAAUUAUAAACAUAAAAACGUUAGGUCAAGGUGUAGCCUAUGAGGUGGAAAGAAAUGGGCUACAUUUUCUAAUUAUAGAGAACACGAAAGCCUUAAUGAAAACGAAGUCCGAAGGAGGAUUUAGUAGUAAGUCAAAAAUAGAGUGCUUGAC
rnacentral:rRNA from 1 species